rnacentral:rRNA from 1 species
UACGUAGGGACCGGGCGUUGUCCGGAAUCAUUGGGCGUAAAGAGCGUGUAGGCGGCCACUUAAGUCCUGCGUGAAAUCUUGCGGCUCAACCGCAAGCGGUCGUGGGAAACUGGGUGGCUAGAGUGCGGGAGAGGAGAGUGGAAUUCCUGGUGUAGCGGUGGAAUGCGCAGAUAUCAGGAGGAACACCGGUGGCGAAGGCGGGUCUCUGGGCAGUAACUGACGCUGAGGAGCGAAAGCGUGGGGAGCGAACAGG